rnacentral:tRNA from 1 species
GCCCGCGUAGCUCAGAGGAUAGAGCGUCGGUUUCCUAAACCGUGCGUCGGAUGUUCGAAUCAUCUCGCGGGUGCCA